GCGCUGGUAGCUCAGGGGUAGAGCAGGGGCCUUUUAAGCCCAAGGUCGUGGGUUCGAGACCCACCCGGCGCACCA
rnacentral:tRNA from 1 species